rnacentral:rRNA from 1 species
GUGCACGCUGGCGGUAGGCCUAACACCUGCAAGUCGAACGGCAGCACAGUAAGAGCUUGCUCUUCCGGGUGGCGAGUGGCGGACGGGUGAGGAAUACAUCGGAAUCUACUUUUUCGUGGGGGAUAACGUAGGGAAACUUACGCUAAUACCGCAUACGACCUACGGGUGAAAGCAGGGGAUCUUCGGCCCUUGCGCGAUUGAAUGAGCCGAUGUCGGAUUAGCUAGUUGGCGGGGUAAAGGCCCACCAAGGCGACGAUCCGUAGCUGGUCUGAGAGGAUGAUCAGCCACACUGGAACUGAGACACGGUCCAGACUCCUACGGGAGGCAGCAGUGGGGAAUAUUGGACAAUGGGCGCAAGCCUGAUCCAGCCAUACCGCGUGGGUGAAGAAGGCCUUCGGGUUGUAAAGCCCUUUUGUUGGGAAAGAAAAGCAGCAGGUUAAUACCCCGCUGUUCUGACGGUACCCAAAGAAUAAGCACCGGCUAACUUCGUG